rnacentral:rRNA from 1 species
UACGUAGGUGGCAAGCGUUGUCCGGAAUUAUUGGGCGUAAAGCGCGCGCAGGUGGUUUCUUAAGUCUGAUGUGAAAGCCCACGGCUCAACCGUGGAGGGUCAUUGGAAACUGGGAGACUUGGGUGCAGAAGAGGAAAGUGGAAUUCCAGGUGUAGUGGUGAAAUGCGUAGAUAUCGGGAGGAACACCAGUGGCGAAGGCGGCUACCUGGCCCACUCUUGACGCUGAGGCGCGAAAGCUAGGGGAGCAAACGGG